UACCAGCACCCCGAGUGGUCGGGACGUUUAUUGGGCCUAAAGCAUCCGUAGCCGGUUCUACAAGUCUUCCGUUAAAUCCACCUGCUUAACAGAUGGGCUGCGGAAGAUACUAUAGAGCUAGGAGGCGGGAGAGGCAAGCGGUACUCGAUGGGUAGGGGUAAAAUCCGUUGAUCCAUUGAAGACCACCAGUGGCGAAGGCGGCUUGCCAGAACGCGCUCGACGGCGAGGGAUGAAAGCUGGGGGGAGCAAACCGG
rnacentral:rRNA from 1 species